UCCCCACCCCACCCAGGGGAGCUAAUGAUCGUUGAAAGCUGCUGGGAGAGAGGAAGUCUGUGUAGCCACUGCUAAGUUCCUCACGCUCCGGUGGAUAACCUUCUACCCAAGACCAUAAAGGAAUCAGAUGUGGUAGAAGCAAGAACAUAACUUUUCAAAUUUCCUGCUAAGUUGAUGGGAAAUACCAAUACUGAAAAACCAGCGAACUCCUACUACACCAGUGCACCAAAGGCCGCCAGGGGCUGUUAGCAAAUGCUGACCUGUCAAAAUUUUCAAGAAUGACUUCUAUGCAAGAAAACGCAGAAUGUCUUCAAAUCUUUCACCGUAUAAUAAAGCAAGUAUGGUGGUAGAUUUUCCCCAAUCUGACAUGACAUUGCUAAUGAAUUAUCACAGCAGUUUUAUGAACUAUUAAUAAAAAAGCCAAGCAAUUAAAGGAAA